UAUUUUAGCGGCGGACGGCGUGAGUAACGUGUGGGUAACCUGCCAUAUACUGGGGAAUAAUCAUUUGAAAAGAUGACUAAUACCGCAUGUCGCCACCGAGGGGCAUCCCUUGGUGAAAAAAGGAGUAAUCCGGUAUAUGAUGGACCCGCAUCUGAUUAGCUAGUUGGUGAGAUAACAGCUCACCAAGGCGACGAUCAGUAGCCGACCUGAGAGGGUGAUCGGCCACAUUGGGACUGAGACACGGCCCAAACUCCUACGGGAGGCAGCAGUGGGGAAUAUUGCACAAUGGGCGAAAGCCUGAUGCAGCAACGCCGCGUGAAGGAAGAAGGGUUUCGGCUCGUAAACUUCUAUCAAUGGGGAAGAAACAAAUGACGGUACCCAAAUAAGAAGCCCCGGCUAACUACGUGCCAGCAGCCGCGGUAAUACGUAGGGGGCAAGCGUUAUCCGGAAUUACUGGGUGUAAAGGGAGCGUAGGCGGUAUGAUAAGCCAGAUGUGAAAGCCCGAAGCUUAACUUCGUGGAUUGCAUUUGGAACUAUCAAACUAGAGUACAGGAGAGGUAAGUGGAAUUCCUAGUGUAGCGGUGAAAUGCGUAGAUAUUAGGAAGAACACCAGUGGCGAAGGCGACUUACUGGACUGAAACUGACGCUGA
rnacentral:rRNA from 1 species